GCCCGGGUGAUGAAAUUGGCAAACAUGUACGACUCAAAAUCGUAUGCCGCAAGGCUUGUGGGUUCAAGUCCCACCCUGGGCA
rfam:Candidatus Staskawiczbacteria bacterium RIFCSPHIGHO2_02_FTLL_34_9 rifcsphigho2_02_scaffold_7952, whole genome shotgun sequence.